rnacentral:rRNA from 1 species
GAUGAACGCUGGCGGCGUGCCUAAUACAUGCAAGUCGAGCGAACGGACGAGAAGCUUGCUUCUCUGAUGUUAGCGGCGGACGGGUGAGUAGCACGUGGAUAACCUACCUAUAAGACUGGGAUAACUUCGGGAAACCGGAGCUAAUACCGGAUAAUAUUUUGAACCGCAUGGUUCAAAAGUGAAAGACGGUCUUGCUGUCACUUAUAGAUGGAUCCGCGCUGCAUUAGCUAGUUGGUAAGGUAACGGCUUACCAAGGCAACGAUGCAUAGCCGACCUGAGAGGGUGAUCGGCCACACUGGAACUGAGACACGGUCCAGACUCCUACGGGAGGCAGCAGUAGGGAAUCUUCCGCAAUGGGCGAAAGCCUGACGGAGCAACGCCGCGUGAGUGAUGAAGGUCUUCGGAUCGUAAAACUCUGUUAUUAGGGAAGAACAUAUGUGUAAGUAACUGUGCACAUCUUGACGGUACCUAAUCAGAAAGCCACGGCUAACUACGUGCCAGCAGCCGCGGUAAUACGUAGGUGGCAAGCGUUAUCCGGAAUUAUUGGGCGUAAAGCGCGCGUAGGCGGUUUUUUAAGUCUGAUGUGAAAGCCCACGGCUCAACCGUGGAGGGUCAUUGGAAACUGGAAAACUUGAGUGCAGAAGAGGAAAGUGGAAUUCCAUGUGUAGCGGUGAAAUGCGCAGAGAUAUGGAGGAACACCAGUGGCGAAGGCGACUUUCUGGUCUGUAACUGACGCUGAUGUGCGAAAGCGUGGGGAUCAAACAGGAUUAGAUACCCUGGUAGUCCACGCCGUAAACGAUGAGUGCUAAGUGUUAGGGGGUUUCCGCCCCUUAGUGCUGCAGCUAACGCAUUAAGCACUCCGCCUGGGGAGUACGACCGCAAGGUUGAAACUCAAAGGAAUUGACGGGGACCCGCACAAGCGGUGGAGCAUGUGGUUUAAUUCGAAGCAACGCGAAGAACCUUACCAAAUCUUGACAUCCUUUGACAACUCUAGAGAUAGAGCUUUCCCCUUCGGGGGACAAAGUGACAGGUGGUGCAUGGUUGUCGUCAGCUCGUGUCGUGAGAUGUUGGGUUAAGUCCCGCAACGAGCGCAACCCUUAAGCUUAGUUGCCAUCAUUAAGUUGGGCACUCUAAGUUGACUGCCGGUGACAAACCGGAGGAAGGUGGGGAUGACGUCAAAUCAUCAUGCCCCUUAUGAUUUGGGCUACACACGUGCUACAAUGGACAAUACAAAGGGCAGCGAAACCGCGAGGUCAAGCAAAUCCCAUAAAGUUGUUCUCAGUUCGGAUUGUAGUCUGCAACUCGACUACAUGAAGCUGGAAUCGCUAGUAAUCGUAGAUCAGCAUGCUACGGUAAAUACGUUCCCGGGUCU